AGUUAAUUAAGCUUUAGAAAAGCAUGUAUUUUGAAAAUACAAGAAUGUAGUUAAAUUCUACUAUUAACUU
rnacentral:tRNA from 1 species